AAGUAGUAUAAUCUAUAUAAACUAAUAUAUAAUGGCGGCAUUCAAUCUAAUUAGAGGAACUUGUUUCAUAAUCGACAACCCACGAUCCAUUUUACUUAAAAUAAUACUUAUAUACCGCCAUCAAGAAUUUUUUAUAAAAAUUUCUCUAAAUAAAAACUAAAAAGUUAGGUCAAGGUGUAGUAAUUUUCAAGUGAACAUGAGUUACAAUAAAAAUUAUUUAAGAAAUAAAAAUAAUAAUUUUUAAGAAAAAGGAUUUAUAUGUAAAUAUUAGAUAAUAACAAUUAUAAUUGAAUAAGAUAAUAAUGUGC
rnacentral:rRNA from 1 species